CUACCAUUGACAGGAAUGUUUGCACUCCAGGUGAAACUUUAUCUAUUGUUGCCAAAAUCUGCAACUCCUCUUCCAAGAACACGAGACCCAAAAUCAAACUUGAACAAAAAACAGUCUACCGCAGCAAGUACAAUAGUGAGAAGUUACUUAAAAAUCUAUUCAAAGAGGCCGGGCGCACUAUCAGUCCAAACUCAGAGCAAACUGUCUCCUGCCAGUUGAAGAUUCCUGAUGAUGCCAUCUCCACUAUCCAUAACUGUGAAAUCAUCUCAGUUGAAUAUUAUGUUAAGGUAUUAAACAAUUUCUUGGUGACAUUACAUCCCCUCAGAAAUAAAAUUGUGUUAUAUGUAAACAUUUUUGGAUAAAUAAGCUACAUGAGAAAUUUGUAACUUAACUACGUAUUAAUUAAAACAGAAAUUAAUCAUUCUUUACACUUGUCCUCAAUUUCUGACUGUUUCCCAGGUUUCUUUGGACAUUAGCUUUGCCUUUGACCCAGAGGUGGUGUUUCCACUGAUCAUCGUUCCUUCCAGAUUUGCAGCCAUUC
ensembl:lncRNA